rnacentral:rRNA from 1 species
AACGAACGCUGGCGGCAUGCCUAACACAUGCAAGUCGAACGAGACCUUCGGGUCUAGUGGCGCACGGGUGCGUAACGCGUGGGAACCUGCCCUUAGGUUCGGAAUAACUCCCCGAAAGGGGCGCUAAUACCGGAUAAUGUCUUCGGACCAAAGAUUUAUCGCCUUUGGAUGGGCCCGCGUUGGAUUAGCUAGUUGGUAGGGUAAAAGCCUACCAAGGCGACGAUCCAUAGCUGGUCUGAGAGGAUGAUCAGCCACACUGGGACUGAGACACGGCCCAGACUCCUACGGGAGGCAGCAGUGGGGAAUAUUGGACAAAGGGCGAAAGCCUGAUCCAGCAAUGCCGCGUGAGUGAUGAAGGCCUUAGGGUUGUAAAGCUCUUUUACCCGGGAUGAUAAUGACAGUACCGGGAGAAUAAGCUCCGGCUAACUCCGUG